rnacentral:rRNA from 1 species
GAUGAACGCUGGCGGCGUGCCUAAUACAUGCAAGUCGAGCGAACAGAUGAGGAGCUUGCUCCUCUGACGUUAGCGGCGGACGGGUGAGUAACACGUGGAUAACCUACCUAUAAGACUGGGAUAACUUCGGGAAACCGGAGCUAAUACCGGAUAAUAUAUUGAACCGCAUGGUUCAAUAGUGAAAGACGGUUUUGCUGUCACUUAUAGAUGGAUCCGCGCCGCAUUAGCUAGUUGGUAAGGUAACGGCUUACCAAGGCAACGAUGCGUAGCCGACCUGAGAGGGUGAUCGGCCACACUGGAACUGAGACACGGUCCAGACUCCUACGGGAGGCAGCAGUGGGGAAUAUUGGACAAUGGGCGAAAGCCUGAUCCAGCCAUGCCGCGUGUGUGAAGAAGGUCUUCGGAUUGUAAAGCACUUUAAGUUGGGAGGAAGGGCAGUAAGUUAAUACCUUGCUGUUUUGACGUUACCAACAGAAUAAGCACCGGCUAACUUCGUG